UCUUUUCAUCCCCUCUGCGCUCCGGUCGUUCCUGUUUUAAACUUUCCUUUCAAGGAGACGUUUGUGCGAAUAUUUUUAUUCAAUAAUCCGGCACGUGUUUCUCCUACAACUUGGAAGAAGGGAUUAAUUAUUUAUUUUUUAUUUAUUUUUUUUAAUUUCCUGUCUCAUUGUUGGUGCAGGACGCGUCUUCUUUUAUUUUUUUGGUGCGCGCUGAAACCCAAAUGGACCGCAAAACGCGUCCGGUGCGUCCGCCCUGUCCAUCUGCAGACGCGUCCGGAACAAACUGAGCCCCCCCCCCCCCCCACACACACACACACUUGUCUCUUAAGUCCGUGGGGUCUUUUCUUGCACAAUAAUCCUUCGUGGACAUACUGUUAUCAGCGUUUAAAGAUUAAAAAGAAAAAAAAAAAAAAAAAAAAAAGAGGAUGUAGCUGGAAAACACGGGCAUGACACGGCGCGAGGACGCAAGAGGACAGUGGGAAGUGUUCAACAACUGGAAACAAAUCCACCACGGGGAGGUGAGAGAGCUGCGCUGUGGAUUUUACGCGUGAAUUUUUAGUCGAAAUCUGAGGACACUUUAACGCAAAAAAGGAUCCGCAUCUGAGGUUCAACCGACGCGCACAUUGGCAUUGAGGAUCAUCUACUAAAAAGGUUCUGGAGCUGGUACCCGUGCACCUUCAAUGGCAGCUCACUGCUCCUGAUGUGUAAACGCUGAUGCUAAUGCCAAUGCUAG